rnacentral:rRNA from 1 species
AACGAACGCUGGCGGCAGGCCUAACACAUGCAAGUCGAGCGAAGCCUUCGGGCUUAGCGGCGGACGGGUGAGUAACGCGUGGGAACGUGCCCUUUGCUACGGAAUAGCCCCGGGAAACUGGGAGUAAUACCGUAUGUGCCCUUCGGGGGACAGAUUUAUCGGCAAAGGAUCGGCCCGCGUUGGAUUAGGUAGUUUGUGGGGUAAUGGUCGACCAAGCCGACGAUCCAUAGCUGGUUUGAGAGGAUGAUCAGCCACACUGGGACCGAGACACGGCCCAGACUCCUACGGGAGGCAGCAGUGGGGAAUCUUAGACAAUGGGGGAAACCCUGAUCUGGCCAUGCCGCGUGAUCGAUGAAGGCCUUAGGGUUGUAAAGAUCUUUCAGUGGGGAAGAUAAUGACUGUACCCACAGAAGAAGCCCCGGCUAACUCCGUGCCAGCCGCCGCGGUAAAAC